rnacentral:rRNA from 1 species
UACGUAGGGUCCGAGCGUUGUCCGGAAUUAUUGGGCGUAAAGAGCUCGUAGGUGGUUUGUCGCGUUGUUCGUGAAAACCGGGGGCUUAACCCUCGGCGUGCGGGCGAUACGGGCAGACUGGAGUACUGCAGGGGAGACUGGAAUUCCUGGUGUAGCGGUGGAAUGCGCAGAUAUCAGGAGGAACACCGGUGGGCGAAGGCGGGGUCUCUGGGCAGUAACUGACGCUGGAGGAGCGAAAGCGUGGGGAGCGAACAGG